rnacentral:rRNA from 1 species
AAACAUUCCGCCUGGGGAGUACGGUCGCAAGAUUAAAACUCAAAGGAAUAGACGGGGACCCGCACAAGUGGUGGAGCAUGUGGUUUAAUUCGAAGAUACGCGAAGAACCUUACCUAGCCUUGACAUAUUUUAGAACUCCGCAGAGAUGCAGAGGUGCCUUCGGGAGCUAAUUUACAGGUGCUGCACGGCUGUCGUCAGCUCGUGUCGUGAGAUGUUGGGUUAAGUCCCGCAACGAGCGCAACCCUCGUCACUAGUUACUAACGGUUCGGCCGAGGACUCUAGUGAGACUGCCUUCGUAAGGAGGAGGAAGGUGAGGACGACGUCAAGUCAUCAUGGCCCUUACGGCUAGGGCAACACACGUGCUACAAUGGCCAGGACAGUGAGACGCGAUACCGCGAGGUGGAGCAAAUCUAUAAACCUGGUCUCAGUUCGGAUUGUUCUCUGCAACUCGAGAACAUGAAGCUGGAAUCACUAGUAAUCGUAGAUCAGCUAUGCUACGGUGAAUACGUUCCCGGGUCUUGUACUCACCGCCCGUCACACCAUGGGAGUUGAUUUCACCCGAAGCGGGGAAGCUAAACUGGCUACCCUCCACGGUGGAAUUAGCGACUGGGGUGAAGUUCUAGCAACAUA